CAGCAGCUGUCAGACGUGUUUGCGUACAACUGGAGGACCGUGAUACUUUUUGUUUUCCUCUCCUUGUGCUAAUUUCGUUUAUCCAUUACAAUGUAUUGUGCACUGCAAAAACAAUAAUUCAUUCUUAAACAAAACAUUCCACUGGAAUGCGUUCGGAAAGUUCUUGUGAAAUUGUGUCGAAAGUACAAGUGUAAUUCAAGGAGUUUUUAAUUUAAUUAGUUUUCAUAUUCAUUGGUUAAAUCGCAUGGUGACGUCAUGGCAGGCGGCGGCGCGUGGUCGCGGCGCGUGGCGGGUCGCGCGCGCACGCUACGGGGGCUGGUGCGCGACACGCAACGCGCGUUGCACGACGUGGCAGACAUCCUGCACUAUGAUCCAGAAAUCCUAACAGCAGUGCAAGAGAUCGGGCAGCUCUCCAGCCGGUUGACAGCGCUGGUAGUGCUCGGAACAACAGCAGAGGCGCGGGCGCGGCUGCUGCACUGCUUGCUGGGCAGACGACUGCUGCCGGAUCGACCCCCCAUUGGAUGC